UACAGAGGGGGCAAGCGUUGUUCGGAAUUACUGGGCGUAAAGGGCGCGUAGGCGGCCUUCUAAGUCGAACGUGAAAUCCCCGGGCUCAACCCGGGAACUGCGUCCGAUACUGGAAGGCUUGAAUCCGGGAGAGGAUGCGGAAUUCCAGGUGUAGCGGUGAAAUGCGUAGAUAUCUGGAGGAACACCGGUGGCGAAGGCGGCAUCCUGGACCGGCAUUGACGCUGAGGCGCGAAAGCCAGGGGAGCAAAGCGGG
rnacentral:rRNA from 1 species